AACUAACUGUCCUUAACUAUUCUAGAGAGGGUAGAGUUCAAACACAUCUAGACAGUAGCAAUAAUGGUAUUUAUUAAUACAAUUACACAUAACUACAGUUAGGUACAUUAGAAUUUUACGAAUUAUAGCUUACAAAGCAAAACGUGAGUAAGUAUAGGUGUUUGU